GACGAGCCACACGAACGUUAUUCGGAAUUACUGGGCUUAAAGGGUGCGUAGGCGGCGCGGAAAGUUGGGUGUGAAAUCCCUCGGCUCAACCGAGGAACUGCGCCCAAAACUACCGUGCUCGAGGAAGAUAGAGGUGAGCGGAACUUACGGUGGAGCGGUGAAAUGCGUUGAUAUCGUAAGGAACACCCGUGGCGAAAGCGGCUCACUGGGUCUUCUCUGACGCUGAUGCACGAAAGCUAGGGGAGCAAACGGG
rnacentral:rRNA from 1 species